GAUGAACGCUAGCGGCAGGCCUAAUACAUGCAAGUCGAGGGGCAGCACGGUAGCAAUACUGGUGGCGACCGGCGCACGGGUGCGUAACGCGUAUGCAACUUACCCUUUACAGGGAGAUAGCCCGGAGAAAUUCGGAUUAAUAUCCCAUAGUAUAUAGAUUUGGCAUCAGAUUUAUAUUAAAGAUUUAUCGGUAAAGGAUGGGCAUGCGUGUCAUUAGCUAGUUGGUGAGGUAAUGGCUCACCAAGGCGACGAUGACUAGGGGUACUGAGAGGUUACACCCCCACCACUGGUACGUGAGACACGGACCGA
rnacentral:rRNA from 1 species